rnacentral:rRNA from 1 species
GAUGAACGCUAGCGGCAGGCUUAAUACAUGCAAGUCGAGGGGCAGCAUGAUUGUAGCAAUACAAUUGAUGGCGACCGGCAAACGGGUGCGGAACACGUACACAACCUUCCAAUAAGUGGGGAAUAGCCCAGAGAAAUUUGGAUUAAUACCCCGUAACAUAACGAUGUGGCAUCACAUUGUUAUUAUAGAUUUUUCGCUUAUUGAUGGGUGUGCGGCUGAUUAGAUAGUUGGCGGGGUAACGGCCCACCAAGUCUACGAUCAGUAGCUGAUGUGAGAGCAUGAUCAGCCACACGGGCACUGAGACACGGGCCCGACUCCUACGGGAGGCAGCAGUAAGGAAUAUUGGACAAUGGACGCAAGUCUGAUCCAGCCAUGCCGCGUGAAGGAUUAAGGUCCUCUGGAUUGUAAACUUCUUUUAUAAGGGACGAAAAAAGGCUUUUCUAAGUCGUCUGACGGUACCUUAUGAAUAAGCACCGGCUAACUCCGUGCCAGCAGCCGCCGUAACAC